rnacentral:rRNA from 1 species
CCUACGGGUGGCAGCAGUCGAGAAUCAUUCACAAUGGGGGAAACCCUGAUGGUGCGACGCCGCGUGGGGGAAUGAAGGUCUUCGGAUUGUAAACCCCUGUCAUGUGGGAGCAAAUUAAAAAGAUAGUACCACAAGAGGAAGAGACGGCUAACUCUGUGCCAGCAGCCGCGGUAAUACAGAGGUCUCAAGCGUUGUUCGGAAUCACUGGGCGUAAGGCGUGCGUAGGCUGUUUCGUAAGUCGUGUGUGAAAGGCGCGGGCUCAACCCGCGGACGGCACAUGAUACUGCGAGACUAGAGUAAUGGAGGGGGAACCGGAAUUCUCGGUGUAGCAGUGAAAUGCGUAGAUAUCGAGAGGAACACUCGUGGCGAAGGCGGGUUCCUGGACAUUAACUGACGCUGAGGCACGUAGGCCAGGGGAGCGAAAGGGAUUAGAUACCCCGGUAGUC